GAUGAACGCUGGCGGCGUGCCUAAUACAUGCAAGUCGAGCGAACGGACGAGAAGCUUGCUUCUCUGAUGUUAGCGGCGGACGGGUGAGUAACACGUGGAUAACCUACCUAUAAGACUGGGAUAACUUCGGGAAACCGGAGCUAAUACCGGAUAAUAUUUUGAACCGCAUGGUUCAAAAGUGAAAGACGGUCUUGCUGUCACUUAUAGAUGGAUCCGCGCUGCAUUAGCUAGUUGGUAAGGUAACGGCUUACCAAGGCAACGAUGCAUAGCCGACCUGAGAGGGUGAUCGGCCACACUGGAACUGAGACACGGUCCAGACUCCUACGGGAGGCAGCAGUAGGGAAUCUUCCGCAAUGGGCGAAAGCCUGACGGAGCAACGCCGCGUGAGUGAUGAAGGUCUUCGGAUCGUAAAACUCUGUUAUUAGGGAAGGACAUAUGUGUAAGUAACUGUGCACAUCUUGACGGUACCUAAUCAGAAAGCCACGGCUAACUACGU
rnacentral:rRNA from 1 species